AUCGGAAUUUAAAUUCCCGUUUUUAAUAAAGUGGGGUGCGAAACCCAAUAGGUGGGGUGCCAAACCAAAUUCCCCUCAACUCUUCACUCCAUCUUUCUCCAGCGGCAACAAGCUAGGGUUUAUGCUCCCACCUGCAUCCUUCUCAAUCCUCCUCAGAUGUUGAUUCCUGUGAAGCGAAAAAGGCGUAGCGAGACUGCAAAUGAAGAGAACACUGGUUCAAUCGUUGAGAUGUUGACUCCGCCGAAGCCAAAGCGAGGAAGUGAAAAUGUAGUGAACAAAGACAGGCUCAGUGAUUUGCCCGAUUGCCUUCUCCUUCACAUUAUGUCAUUUAUGAAAGCCAAAUGCGCGGUUCAGACUUGCGUAUUAUCCACAAGAUGGAAGGAUCUCUGGAAAUGUGUUCCUUCGAUCACAUUACUUUCGCCGGACUUUGUGAGAUUGAAGAGUUUCACUGAUUUCAUGAAUAAGCUUUUGGACCUUCGCGAUCGCUCGGCUGCACUGCACAGCUUUGAUUUUGAGCGUCGUGGCUCUAUGGAGUUUCGCUACCACAAAAGGGUCGUCAGCUAUGUUUUGUCACAUAAAGUUCAGCAAUUACGAUUUGCUGUGGUAUAUAACCUGUCUCAGAUCCUUCGCAUUUUUUCAUGCCAGUCUUUAACAUCUCUGGAGCUUUUAGUUCACACUGGGCGGUCUAAUCCUUCUGGCAAUUUAUUUCCGGUAUCUUCAUGUCUCAAUUUGCCAGCAUUAACCAGCUUGCAUCUGGGUUGUUUCACCUUCUCCGGGGGCAUCAAUCGCCGAGCCGAGCCCUUUUCGGCUUUUAAGAAGUUGCAUAGUUUGAUCAUUGACAAUUGUAGCAUAAAGGAUGCACAAACCUUCUGCAUAUCAAGUACAACACUUGUUGAUGUUACUAUUAUACAUACUUUGUAUGGGGACUUUAAAGAAGUUGAGCUCUCUGCACCAAGUCUUCAUAGGUUGGAUUUUACGGGCUCCACUCCUCGUCAGCGGCUCUGUGGGAGUAGUCUUUCUUCUGUGAAAGAAUUAAGUAUCGAUGUAGACAUGCGAGCAUAUGCCCCAGAGCCUCCUUUGAUUCUACUCAGCUGGCUGGAAGAGCUUACUAAUAUCAAAUCAUUGACAGUCUCUACAAGUACUCUUCAGGUUCUCUUCUUAAUCCCCAAUUUAGUAAAGCGUAAGCUCGCGUUCUUGUGUCACUUGAAGUCAUUGAAAGUUAAAGUGGAACGGUUUACAUCAUUGCUUAGAACAGCUAUGAUAGAUGUGAAGAUACAGAAAGCCGCUACUGUGUCACAGAGAGAAGCUGCCAGGUUACAUAAAGAAGCUGAUAUCAUAGAGAAAACAAAAUCAGAGCAUGCACCGAUACCUGCUGGAAUACUGAACUUUUUGCUUCAAAACUCACCCUCAGCAGAAGUUAAGACCAAAAGCUGCUAUAGGAGGAUUUAUGGCAUGUUGUAAGGGACUAAAGUUAUAUGGAGGUACACGAGAUUGAGUCUCAUAUAUUGCUGAUGGAGUCUUCAAUUUGAAUAGCUUAAUUCAAACGUAGAGAUCGAACAACUUGAUAGCAGUAGCUCAUGCUAAUUUCUAAUGUACAAAUACCCUGCCUUUUGUAGAAAGGUGGGCUUGUCUCUUGAUGAACAGUUCAAAAAUGACUAUGCACUCUACCGUGAUAUUUCACUCUAUUCCCAAAUAUGUUAUAGUCGAUAAUAUUCUCAUGAAACUACUUCGACCAACAUGUGCAUAAGGGGGCGAUUCUCAUCCGGAAGAGCACUAGUUUACAGGGAUGAUGGAGGUUACAGGGGUGAACGAGCCAGAGGACGUGCAAACUAUGGAAAUGGCCGAAGCUAUGGUCGUGGUGAUUUUAAUGGCAGGGGGAAUUUGGCUUUAGGAAUGGCCCUCGAGGAGGUUUUUCUAGCCGUGGAGGUGAUGGGUAUCAGAGAAGUGAACAGAUGGGAGCUGGCGGUGGCCGCAUGAAUCGUGUGCCGUGUGCCUGCUGUUAAUUCAACGGCCAAAACUACAGCUGUUCGUGUUCGUGUGUCUGCUUGAGAAACUACUCUUCAUUGAGGCAGUCAGACUAAUAGAAACUGUGGUUGAAUUUGCAGUAAUUGAGGCAGUUAGAAAGAUUUAGAGGAGCCUUUUUUUUGACAAGUUUAUAAGGUUCUAAUUUUUUGUCGUUCUUUUGAUAUUGGUAGUCUUGGUAAAGGUAGUUUUCCAAUUUAUGUUAAUUAUAAUGUCAUUCUAGGUAGUUUUUGUGCUUCCCCCAACUUUUAUGAAUAUAUUCAUAUAUUUUUUCAAAAAUAAACAUAUAAAUAACCUCAACAUGACAAAGACCCAAUAAAGUCAUAAUAAAACCAUUAAGCUU